rnacentral:lncRNA from 1 species
AAGCAAUUUGCUCAUAGCCAUAGCUUUCUUGUGAAAGUAGGAUAUUAACCCAGGUGUCUUGGUGCUGGAGAACAGAACUGGCCAGAGUCCAUCCUGUCUCCCACCGGCAUCCCAUUACGAAAUGAACACAGAAAAGGCAGGUCUGCAAUGCCAACAUCUAGUAUCUAUCCCAAAGACCAGGGAGAAAGGAAGGAAAGAUUCUGGUUCUGUCCUCUUCCCCAAGGCAAGGCUGGCUGCCCUACCAACAGAGGCAAAGAGAAGAGUGUGCAAGGCUGGCUGCCCUCCCAACAGAGGCAAAGAGGAGUGUGUGUUGAAAUAUCCAUUGAAUCCCUGAGACAACUGGAUCCUGGCCCAUUGAAUCAUAAACUCAAAUCUCACAUCAUAACCCCAAAUGACCUGUUACUCACCAUGUGGCCCAGCUGUCUUCAAACUCACCAGCCUCCUGCCUUAGCCUUCUAAAUGCUUGGAUUACAGGCAUGACCCACCAUAACUGGCUUUGUUUUAGUUUCAGAGAAGAUGAAACUGAUGUGCGUCAAAAAGUAAACUACCCACAUUUUAACUGGGCACAUUCCUGUCAAUCUGAUGAGAAUCUAUUUCAUACCCUGCUUUAGCUGGUAGUCUGUCAAGGAAAUGAGCUGAACAUGUCUGUGUACAGCUUUUGUGCCAUCCCUGGAUGAGCGAGCUGUCUGCCUCUAUGUUCUCCACAAAAUGGAAUAUAGCUGUACACCCAAGCCAAGUUAUGGAGGCUGGGAAGACCUAGAAUGUGGCAUCACUAUUUGGUUAUUUAGAAAAUUGUUACCUCAAAAAUGACCUAGGGGUCCUUAGAAUAAUAACACACAGAAGAAUAGCCUCAUUUUUCUGUUGGGCCCAGGAAACCAUGCCGAUUACCGACCGAGCUCUCAAUGGAAAAAUGCAGUCGGCGUGAACCACGCACGAACACAGCAGAGAAAGAAGAAAACACACACCACGAGGAACCCUAAUAGGACAAUACAUUAUAAGCCUCAUGGUACAUCCACUUGGUGUGCUGGGAGAGUCAGGAUGAGGACCUGAGAAGAACAGCAGCUUGAACCUGACUUCAUUUAACAGCCCACUGCCCUCUUGCCAAGAACCCAUCACAGACCUUCCCAGAAGAGAGGGAUGAGCCUCACCUAUGAAUAAGUCCUCAGAAACUCAAAUUUGAUUCUAAUGGAUUGUUUUCUCAGAAAGACUGAGCAUGUCCCCCCACAUCUCUGUCAUUUCCCACAGUAGUAACCUCUGCAGAUGCCACAUAGAAAACAAAACAAAACAAAAAAACAUGAGGUUGGUGGGCAGAUAGGCAGGGUAUAAACAAACAGCCUUGUAACCCAGAAGCUGUGUGAUAUACAGUAAACUUCACAACACUGAAAAGAUGUCCUAUCUGUUAAAAUGGGGUAAUAACAACUACCCGAAUGUUUAGGAAUAGAACUUCAAUAAAUGAUACAUUUUAUAGUACAGCAGACCAUCCUGUAAAGGUUUCAUCCUUCACUGUGGUGAUAAAUAUCCCAAACCACAUUGAAAAGCAUUGCAUCUACAUUUAUCUACACUGUAACUGUACUGUAAAUCAUGGGGGAGGGGAGAAUCAUAAAAACACCACCUGUCACCGUGUCAUUAAAGCAAGUUGGAAGUGAUACUUACAGAAACACAGCAAGAGCACCCCCAGUCACACAGUUCAAUCUCUUAGCAAGCGUUUUCUUUCUAGCCCAGUGGUUCUCAGUUUGGAAUUUUUGGCACUGCCUAGAGAUAGUUUUGUUGUUAAAACUGAGAAAAGAGCCGGGCGUGGUGGCACACGCCUUUAAUCCCAGCACUCAGGAGGCAGAGGCAGG